UACGUAGGGUGCGAGCGUUGCCCGGAUUUAUUGGGCGUAAAGGGCGCGUAGGCGGCCACGCACGUCCGUUGUGAAAUCUCUGGGCUUAACCCAGAAAGGUCAACCGAUACUGCGGGGCUAGAGUGCAGAAGGGGCAACUGGAAUUCUCGGUGUAGCGGUGAAAUGCGUAGAUAUCGAGAGGAACACCUGCGGCGAAGGCGGGUUGCUGGGCUGACACUGACGCUGAAGCGCGAAAGCUAGGGGAGCGAACGGG
rnacentral:rRNA from 1 species